rnacentral:rRNA from 1 species
CCAGACUCCUACGGGAGGCAGCUUGCGGGAGCACAACUGACGCUGAAGCUCGAAAGUGCGGGUAUCGAACAGGAUUAGAUACCCUGGUAGUCCGCACGGUAAACGAUGGAUGCCCGUUGUCAGGCUGUUUCAGUCUGGUGACCAAGCGAAAGCAUUAAGCAUCCCACCUGGGGAGUACGCCGGCAACGGUGAAACUCAAAGGAAUUGACGGGGGCCCGCACAAG